rnacentral:rRNA from 1 species
CUAUCGCUUACAGAUGGGCCCGCGGUGCAUUAGCUAGUUGGUAGGGUAAUGGCCUACCAAGGCAACGAUGCAUAGCCGACCUGAGAGGGUGAUCGGCCACACUGGGACUGAGACACGGCCCAGACUCCUACGGGAGGCAGCAGUAGGGAAUCUUCCGCAAUGGACGAAAGUCUGACGGAGCAACGCCGCGUGUAUGAAGAAGGUUUUCGGAUCGUAAAGUACUGUUGUUAGAGAAGAACAAGGAUAAGAGUAACUGCUUGUCCCUUGACGGUAUCUAACCAGAAAGCCACGGCUAACUACGUGCCAGCAGCCGCGGUAAUACGUAGGUGGCAAGCGUUGUCCGGAUUUAUUGGGCGUAAAGCGCGCGCAGGCGGUCUUUUAAGUCUGAUGUGAAAGCCCCCGGCUUAACCGGGGAGGGUCAUUGGAAACUGGAAGACUGGAGU